rnacentral:lncRNA from 1 species
GGAGAAUGAGACCCUGGUGGAGUUUGCUAUUGGCCUGUGCAACCUGUGCCCAGACAGGGCCAACAAGGAGCACAUCCUGCACGCAGGAGGUGUCCCACUCAUCAUCAACUGCCUAUCCAGCCCCAAUGAGGAGACGGUGCUGUCUGCCAUCACCACGCUCAUGCACCUGAGCCCGCCGGGCCGCAGCUUUCUCCCAGAGCUGACCGCCACGCCCGUGGUGCAGUGCAUGCUUCGCUUCUCCCUCUCGGCCAGCGCCAGGCUCCGGAACCUGGCACAGAUCUUCCUGGAGGACUUCUGCUCCCCCCGCCAGGUGGCCGAGGCCCGCAGCCGGCAGGCGCACUCUGCCCUGGGUAUCCCACUGCCGAGGAGCGUGGCCCCACGGCAGCGCUGAUCCAUGGAGACUGCGAGACCGUGGCACCCCUACUGCUGGAGACCACAGUCCUGAUGUGGACGCAGGGAACGGGGAGCACAUACUGCCCCAUUGGUGCCUUUUCAGCCAUCUGAAAGGCGGGUUCUUUCAGCAGGACAGGCAUUUACACUGAUGAAACGCCACUGGGAGUGAGGAAGCCAGACUCCAGAGACACGGAGAAGAUCAAACUGGAGCUGCGUUCAUAGGCUGGCACUCUCAAUCCUACAUCAGGUGCCACCACCACCAGACUCAGGCCCUGGUGUAAGAAGCGGCCAAGUGCCUGGACCCAGAGGCUUUGCAGGACAGUGUUCUCAGGAGCUGGGCCUGAGGCUUAGGAGAGCUGCCUUCGCUGCAGGAAAUCAGGGAUUAUCCCUUAACAGAAGUGUCUGGAGUAGUUUUCAGGUAUAGGAAUGAGAUGCCUCGUGGUGAAAGGAUCUCACCCUGGGAAGAUGUGGUGCCCCCUCCAGGGCUCUGGAGGAUGGAUGCCUCCCCCAGGGGCUCUCCAAGCUGGGCAUUUGGGCCUGGUGGAUGCCAACCUGGAUAACCUGUGGCCCAGCAUUGACUGUCCACCCAGCCUUGCUGUUAGGCACCAUGACUCCAAGAUGAAGAUGUGGUCCCUGCCCUUGAGUGACAGCCCAGGGACUUAAUGUGGCCAUCGGGCAUCAAGCACAAGGCCAUGCAGGUGAUGAUACGUCGGAAUAGAGGCACCAGCCCUGGUAACUGCAUCUUCUCCCCUUGCCACCCCAUGGCCCCGGCUGAAAGCUUCGGCCCUCCUCUGCUGUCACUCAAUGAUGGGGAGCCCUACCCCAGAAGUGUAUCCCACGAGGGCAUCAGGGACGCAGUGAGUGUUGCUCAAGGGAGUCAGGAAGAGACGGCAACGUAAAGGAUGUGGCUCCAUGUCCAUGGUGCCCCCUGGUCAACAUAAGGAGCGUGGGAUCCGAUGGAAAGGUGGAGCUCAGGGAAAAUGGGGGUCCUUGCCUCUCG